ACAUCCCUCUGACCUCUCUAGAGAUAGAGAUUUCCUUCGGGACAGAGGUGACAGGUGGUGCAUGGUUGUCGUCAGCUCGUGUCGUGAGAUGUUGGGUUAAGUCCCGCAACGAGCGCAACCCCUAUUGUUAGUUGCCAUCAUUCAGUUGGGCACUCUAGCGAGACUGCCGGUAAUAAACCGGAGGAAGGUGGGGAUGACGUCAAAUCAUCAUGCCCCUUAUGACCUGGGCUACACACGUGCUACAAUGGCUGGUACAACGAGUCGCAAGCCGGUGACGGCAAGCUAAUCUCUUAAAGCCAGUCUCAGUUCGGAUUGUAGGCUGCAACUCGCCUACAUGAAGUCGGAAUCGCUAGUAAUCGCGGAUCAGCACGCCGCGGUGAAUACGUUCCCGGGCCUUGUACACACCGCCCGUCACACCACGAGAGUUUGUAACACCCGAAGUCGGUGAGGUAACCUUUUAGGAGCCAGCCGCCUAAGGUGGGAUAGAUGAUUGGGGUGAAGUCGUAACAAGGUAGGCGUAGCGAG
rnacentral:rRNA from 1 species